UGACACUCGUACUGAUCGAGGACCGGGCGUGGCCGAUUGGUUAGCGUACCCAGACUUUGACUUCGAUUGAUGUAGAACACAGUUGGAUGACACUCGUACUGAUCGAGGACUGGGCGUGGCCGAUUGGUUAGCGUACCCAGACUUUGAAUUCGAAGAUUCACGACUCACGACCCGUUAUCGCUAAAACGAACUUCGCUAUUCUGUGCCGUGGGUUCUCAAAACAUUACAUGUCUGACCUGUGGUCAUCUGACUCACUGUCCGCGGUGAAUAUCAAGCUAUGUACCCUACCUUACCUUCUCCAGCUGCGCAAAGUGCCAUUCAGGACGAUCACAUUACAUUCUACGUCCUUCUAGCAGGCGUGGCGGGAGGUUUGGUAUUAGCUGUCGCCGUGAUGGUGUGUUGUAAGCUCUGCCUCCGAAAGAAAAAGCCUUUGACAAGGCAGCAUGUGGUUUUUAAUCGGAGUUCAGAGCGUCAGCAUACGAGGGCGCGCAAGUAUCAUAGCCUCGACUCCAGUGUCAG